GAUGAAGAACGUAGCGAAAUGCGAUACGUAAUGUGAAUUGCAGAAUUCAGUGAAUCAUCGAGUCUUUGAUCGCACAUUGCGCCCCCUGGUAUUCCGGGGGGCAUGCCUGUCCGAGCGUCAUUGCUGCCCUCAAGCACGGCUUGUGUGUUGGGCCUCCGUCCUCCUCCCGGGGGACGGGCCCGAAAGGCAGCGGCGGCACCGCGUCCGGUCCUCGAGCGUAUGGGGCUUCGUCACCCGCUCUUGUAGGCCCGGCCGGCGCUUGCCGACACAUCAAUCUUUUUUCCAGGUUGACCUCGGAUCAGGUAGGGAUACCCGCUGAACUUAAGCAUAUCAAUAAGCGGAGGA
rnacentral:misc_RNA from 1 species